GACGAACGCUGGCGGCGUGCUUAACACAUGCAAGUCGAACGGAAAGGCCCUGCUUGCAGGGUACUCGAGUGGCGAACGGGUGAGUAACACGUGGGUGAUCUGCCCUGCACUUCGGGAUAAGCCUGGGAAACUGGGUCUAAUACCGGAUAGGAGCCAUUUUUAGUGUGAUGGUUGGAUAGUUUUUUCGGUGUAGGAUGAGCUCGCGGCCUAUCAGCUUGUUGGUGGGGUAAUGGCCUACCAAGGCGGCGACGGGUAGCCGGCCUGAGAGGGUGGACGGCCACAUUGGGACUGGGAUACGGCCCAGACUCCUACGGGAGGCAGCAGUGGGGAAUAUUGCACAAUGGGCGCAAGCCUGAUGCAGCGACGCCGCGUGGGGGAUGACGGCCUUCGGGUUGUAAACUCCUUUCGCUAGGGACGAAGCUUUUUGUGACGGUACCUAGAUAAGAAGCACCGGCUAACUACGUG
rnacentral:rRNA from 1 species